UACGAAGGGGGCUAGCGUUGUUCGGAAUUACUGGGCGUAAAGCGCGCGCAGGCGGUCCAGCAAGUCGGGUGUGAAAGCCCUCGGCUCAACCGAGGAAGUGCAUUCGAAACUACGGGACUUGAAUACUGAAGAGGAUCGCGGAAUUCCCGGUGUAGAGGUGAAAUUCGUAGAUAUCGGGAGGAACACCAGUGGCGAAGGCGGCGAUCUGGGCAGAUAUUGACGCUGAUGUGCGAAAGCGUGGGGAGCAAACAGG
rnacentral:rRNA from 1 species